rnacentral:rRNA from 1 species
GAUGAACGCUGGCGGCGUGCUUAACACAUGCAAGUCGAGGGGUAGAGGAAGCUUGCUUCCUUGAGACCGGCGCACGGGUGCGUAACGCGUAUGCAAUCUACCUUUUACAGAGGGAUAGCCCAGAGAAAUUUGGAUUAAUACCUCAUAGUAUCUUUGCCUGGCAUCGGGUGAUUAUUAAAGUUCCAACGGUAAAAGAUGAGCAUGCGUCCUAUUAGCUAGAUGGUAAGGUAACGGCUUACCAUGGCAACGAUAGGUAGGGGUCCUGAGAGGGAGAUCCCCCACACUGGUACUGAGACACGGACCAGACUCCUACGGGAGGCAGCAGUGAGGAAUAUUGGACAAUGGGCGCAAGCCUGAUCCAGCCAUGCCGCGUGCAGGAAGACGGUCCUAUGGAUUGUAAACUGCUUUUGUACGGGAAGAAACACUCCCUCGUGAGGGAGCUUGACGGUACCGUAAGAAUAAGGAUCGGCUAACUCCGUGCCAGCCGCCGCGGUAACAC